AUUGAACGCUGGCGGCAUGCUUUACACAUGCAAGUCGAACGGCAGCGCGGGCUUCGGCAUGGCGGCGAGUGGCGAACGGGUGAGUAAUGCAUCGGAACGUGCCCAGUAGUGGGGGAUAGCCCGGCGAAAGCAGUAUUAAUACCGCAUACGACCUGAGGGUGAAAGCUGGGGACCGAAAGGCCUCGCGCUAUUGGAGCGGCCGAUGUCGGAUUAGCUAGUUGGUGGGGUAAAGGCUUACCAAGGCGACGAUCCGUAGCUGGUCUGAGAGGACGACCAGCCACACUGGGACUGAGACACGGCCCAGACUCCUACGGGAGGCAGCAGUGGGGAAUUUUGGACAAUGGGGGCAACCCUGAUCCAGCCAUGCCGCGUGCGGGAAGAAGGCCUUCGGGUUGUAAACCGCUUUUGUUCGGGAAGAAAUCCUCUGGGCUAAUACCCCGGGGGGAUGACGGUACCGGAAGAAUAAGCACCGGCUAACUACGUG
rnacentral:rRNA from 1 species